rnacentral:rRNA from 1 species
UACGUAGGGUGCAAGCGUUAAUCGGAAUUACUGGGCGUAAAGCGUGCGCAGGCGGCUUUGCAAGACAGAUGUGAAAUCCCCGGGCUUAACCUGGGAAUGGCAUUUGGGACUGCAAGGCUCGAGUGCGGCAGAGGAGACUGGAAUUCCUGGUGUAGCAGUGAAAUGCGUAGAUAUCAGGAGGAACACCGGUGGCGAAGGCGGGUCUCUGGGCAGUAACUGACGCUGAGGAGCGAAAGCGUGGGGAGCGAACAGG